rnacentral:rRNA from 1 species
CUAUACAUGCAGUCGAGCGGACAGAUGGGAGCUUGCUCCCUGAUGUUAGCGGCGGACGGGUGAGUAACACGUGGGUAACCUGCCUGUAAGACUGGGAUAACUCCGGGAAACCGGGGCUAAUACCGGAUGGUUGUCUGAACCGCAUGGUUCAAACAUAAAAGGUGGCUUCGGCUACCACUUACAGAUGGACCCGCGGCGCAUUAGCUAGUUGGUGAGGUAACGGCUCACCAAGGCGACGAUGCGUAGCCGACCUGAGAGGGUGAUCGGCCACACUGGGACUGAGACACGGCCCAGACUCCUACGGGAGGCAGCAGUAGGGAAUCUUCCGCAAUGGACGAAAGUCUGACGGAGCAACGCCGCGUGAGUGAUGAAGGUUUUCGGAUCGUAAAGCUCUGUUGUUAGGGAAGAACAAGUGCCGUUCAAAUAGGGCGGCACCUUGACGGUACCUAACCAGAAAGCCACGGCUAACUACGUGCCAGCAGCCGCGGUAAUACGUAGGUGGCAAGCGUUGUCCGGAAUUAUUGGGCGUAAAGGGCUCGCAGGCGGUUUCUUAAGUCUGAUGUGAAAGCCCCCGGCUCAACCGGGGAGGGUCAUUGGAAA